ACAAUUAGUGGUAAUGUAAUUUCCAAAGGCAUUGGUUUUGUCUUGUUCUUCACUCAAGAUUGCAUGCAUAAGCUUUGUUAUUAUGCCUUUUCUAAGCAUUUCAAAUUCCCAUGUAUGGAGAUCUCCUUUUUUUAAUUGCAGCCACAGUCUACUCUCGGGGGAUCGUUUGAGCUGAAAGAAAGGAAUUACCCAUAUCCCCCAAUCUCUUCAACUUCACAGCUCUCUGUUUUAUUGACUUUAUUUGCAGAUGGCUUGUGCAUUUUCCAAUUAAUUUAAUUAAUUGGGCCUUAUCUUGUUGAUGGAGAUAACUCUCUGCAAAUGGGGGUUUUUACCUCUGCUGUGUUUAGGUCUCUCAUUUUCAAUUGGAUUUUCAGUUGAGGGGCUACAUGGUAAUUCAAGAGUACGAGGAGUGAAUUUGGGUGGAUGGUUGGUGACUGAGGGUUGAAUUAAGCCUUCUCUGUUUGAUGAUAAGUGUGUGUUUUUGUGUGUGUGUGUGAUGUGUUGAGUUUACAUACCUGUUAAAACAUUGUGGUUGAUGAAUUUUAGGAUGGAACAGAGGUCCAACUAAAGUCAGUGAGUGGGAAAAAAUAUGUUUCUGCUGACAAUGGUGGCGGAGGGGCUGUCGCGGUUGACAGAGACGUUCCUCUUGCUUGGGAGACAUUUCGGUUAUGGAGAGUAUCCGAGUCAAUCUUCCAAUUCUGUACUUCCGGUGGCCAGUUUCUGACCUAUGGUGGUGAUGGGGACAACGUUACUGCUGCAGCAGAGUUACCGUCUGAUACCGAAACCUUUUACUUGGAAAGAAAUAACAACCAAAUUCACAUCAAACUCAAGACUGGAAUGCAUUUACAGAAUCACAGGAGCAAUUUUAUCACUGUAGAAGAUUUCAAUUUUCUCUAAAGGCAUGGUAUCAAUACUGUGAGAAUACAUGUAGGCUGGUGGAUAGCUUACUAUCCCAAUCCUCCACCUCCUUUUAUCGGUGGAAGUUUGCAAGCACUCGAUAAUGCUUUUUCGUGGGCACAGUAAGCCUAACUUUCCUAAAAUCAAAUACGUUGCUGUAAAUAGACUAUUCAAGUUCCCUCGAUUCUCAUGCUCCGCCUGUCAAAUACUUUGCUGUAAAUAGACCUUCAUGCUGCACCAGGCUCCCAGAAUGGGAUGGAACACAGUUCUAGUAGAGAUGGGACGACAGGAUAGCCCACAUCAUCUGAUUACAUCUCACAAAGUCUAAAUGCAAUAGAUUUUCUCGCUUCGAGGUAUGCUCAGCAUCCUUCGUUGCUGGGGAUCGAGAUAUUAAUGAGCCAUCUGCUGCCUGGUUCCACUUGACACCCUAACUUCAUAUUAUAAACAAAGAUACAAGAUUGUUAGGAAAUACUCAUCCGCUGCUUAUGUCAUAUUUUGCCAAAGAAUUAGCAAUGCCGAUCCAUUGGAGCUCUACCAGGCUAACAUAGGCGAUACAAAUACCGUAAUAGACUUGCAUUACUACAAUCUAUUCGACGCUUUUUUUGCCAACAUGAGCUCUAUAGAUAACAUUCAGUAUAUAUACAAGAGUAGGGGAACACAGUUACAGUCUCUGAAUGGUGCAAAUGGACUGCUUGUUUUCAUCGAUGAGUCCCUUGUUCUUACGCCAGUAUCUUGAAUUAUUAUUUUUCUUUCUCGGGAAGUUGUGUACAACAUGGCUCAUUCAUUUCCAGAUAAUUGAUAUGUACAAGAAUGCAGGGGAAUGGGUGAACGAGUGGAACGUGAAUGGAUCCCAAACCGAUUACCAAGAUUUUGGACGAGCCCAGUUAGAGGUGUACAAUGUUGCUUCGUUUGGAUGGGCUUACUGGACACUUAAAAAUGACAUGAAACACUGGGAUUUUGAGUGGAACGUACGCAACAACUACCUCCAACUUCAACUAGGUUGUUCAUCAUGCAGGCGAAGUUGGAGUUAUGCGAUGUUUCUUGGAUCGGCAUUCGGCUUCUUCUUCGUCUAUGGUGUGUAGAGUUUGCAAAAUGUCGCAAUCCGGCAUUGUACACUAGCAGCCGAGAAAUGUGGGAUGAAAACUGAAGAAAAUUACCAUACUUCCUUCAAAUUGAGCUGAACUCGACUUUAUUCAUUGUAAGUAUCAUUUUUUUAAUUAAAUUGAAUUCUCUUAUUGGCCACAAGACAGCUCUAUUGACCCACUGAAUUAUUAAAUAAGUUGAAAGUUGAUCGGAAAUGAAACCGA